rnacentral:lncRNA from 1 species
CCCGUCGCAAGUGGAUAAUAUUAAUAGUGUAAAAAUAUGCAAGUGUUCGGUAAACAGGAAGUUGUCAAGUGAUGAAUCUGAAAACGCAUCACACGGUAUAGCUGACUUAUAUAAAUCCUGAAACCAAAUUUCAGAAAUCCUUGUAUUGUAGUUCCUGAGAAAAAUGUGACGAAAAUUUUCAACUUGGCUAUCAGUGUAAAAUCAUACAAGUGUUCGGUAAACAGGAAGUUGUCGAGUGAUGAAUCUGAAAACGCAUCACACGGUAUAGCUGACUUAUAUAAAUCCUGAAACCAAAUUUCAGAAAUCCUUGUAUUGUAGUUGCUGAGAAAAAUGUGACGAAAAUUUUCAACUUGGCUAUCAUGUGUAAAAUCAUACAAGUGUUCGGUAAACAGGAAGUUGUCAAGUGAUGAAUCUGAAAACGCAUCACACGGUAUGGCUAACAUAUAUAAAUGUUGAUACCAAAUUAAAGAAAGGGUGGAUGUGUAGUUCCUGAGAAAAAUGUGACGAAAGUUUUCAUGGGACGGACUGACUGACGGACUGAUGGACGGACUGACGGACGGACUGACGGACUGACAGACAGAGGUAAAACAGUAUACCCCCCCUUUUUUAAAGCGGGGGUAUAACGCCGCAAGUGGAUAAUAUUAAUAGUGUAAAAAUAUGCAAGUGUUCGGUAAACAGGAAGUUGUCAAGUGAUGAAUCUGAAACGCAUCACACGGUAUAGCUGACUUAUAUAAAU